rnacentral:lncRNA from 1 species
GGACAAUUUGCCUAGGUUAUGAACUUGAAGAAGGCUACUGAAUUGGGCUUACCUGGUUCAAAAAAGUCAAAAUCAGGUUUCAGUAAUUUGUUGUGCCUGUCUUAUGAAUCGUAAUUUAUAGUAAUUCGUUUAGAAUAGAAUUUUCCAAACAUAAAUAAAUGAUCUUUUGGGAAUCAAAAACUAAAUUAGGCCUUUGUUUAUGAAUUGAGAACAAGGCCUUUGUUCAUGUGUCUGGCCUUAUCAAAUUUUUUCAGGGUAAAUAACACAAACCACUCUCACGGUUUGGACUUCAACAAACUAUUGAAAACUUCUAGACUACAAUCAAAGGAAAAAAAGUUUUUUUUUUUUUUCUUGAAGGAUAUAAU